UACAGAGGUCUCAAGCGUUGUUCGGAUUCAUUGGGCGUAAAGGGUGCGUAGGCGGCGCUGUAAGUCGGGUGUGAAAUCUCGGAGCUUAACUUCGAAACUGCAUUCGAUACUGCCGUGCUUGAGGACUGGAGAGGAGACUGGAAUUUACGGUGUAGCGGUGAAAUGCGUAGAUAUCGUAAGGAAGACCAGUGGCGAAGGCGGGUCUCUGGACAGUUCCUGACGCUGAGGCACGAAGGCCAGGGGAGCAAACGGG
rnacentral:rRNA from 1 species